AGUGAACGCUGGCGGUAGGCCUAACACAUGCAAGUCGAACGGCAGCACAGUAAGAGCUUGCUCUUACGGGUGGCGAGUGGCGGACGGGUGAGGAAUACAUCGGAAUCUACUUUUUCGUGGGGGAUAACGUAGGGAAACUUACGCUACUACCGCAUACGACCUACGGGUGAAAGCAGGGGAUCUUCGGACCUUGCGCGAUUGAAUGAGCCGAUGUCGGAUUAGCUAGUUGGCUGGGUAAAGGCCCACCAAGGCGACGAUCCGUAGCUGGUCUGAGAGGAUGAUCAGCCACACUGGAACUGAGACACGGUCCAGACUCCUACGGGAGGCAGCAGUGGGGAAUAUUGGACAAUGGGCGCAAGCCUGAUCCAGCUAUACCGCGUGAGUGAAGAAGGCCUUCGGGUUGUAAAGCCCUUUUGUUGGGAAAGAAAAGCAGCAGGUUAAUACCCCGCUGUUCUGACGGUACCCAAAGAAUAAGCACCGGCUAACUUCGUG
rnacentral:rRNA from 1 species